rnacentral:tRNA from 1 species
UGUGGCAGAUUAGUGCAAUAAAUUUAAGAUUUAUUUAUAAAGUAAAUCUUUCCUUAGAAA